rnacentral:lncRNA from 1 species
UGAGUUUAUUGCAUUUCAUAUGCAUCAUGGUUGUGUGAAGGAAAAAAAAUUAUUGAAAGGUUGCAUGAAAUGGAAAAAUGAAAAAGAAAUGAUGAUGAAAAGUAAAGGCCCGUGAAAGGCAAAUUAAGAAAAGAGUGAGAUCCUUGGUGUGAAAGACACAAAAAUUUACCAUGGGGUGAGUAUUUGGGUAUGAACGCGUAUCCUUCGGUGAAAGCCCAAGAAUAACAGUGCAUUGUAUGAUUAUGUGUUACAUUCUUACAUGUAUUUUAUUUAAUUGUUAAGAAAUAUUUAAGUUGUGUAAUUAGAUUAAAUAAAAUGUUUGGGAUGCUUAUUUUAUGGUUUGAAUGCCCAUUUUGUUUAUCUUUGAACCAUAGUAAUACUAAUUAAUCCCUUUGGGUGUAAGACACCCUACUGAACAAUGUGGAAAUGCCACAUUUUUCUUUUUAAAACUUUUUUAUGUAAAUAUUGCUAUUGAGGAUCAACAAGUAGAGUAGGAAGGGCUCUAGAAC